rnacentral:rRNA from 1 species
AGGAUCAUUACUGAACUGUCCACGGGAGCUGUUGCUGGCCCUCGGAAGGGGGCACGUGCACGCUCUGUUUACUCAUCCACUCACCCCUGUGCACCCUCUGUACUUCUAUGGCCUUGGGGACCCCGUCCCCUUGCCGUGAUCCUACGUCUUUACACACACCCCGUAACAAAGUAUCAUGGAAUGUAUGUCUCGUUUAACGCAAUACAAUACAACUUUCAGCAACGGAUCUCUUGGCUCUCGCAUCGAUGAAGAACGCUUCGAAAUGCGAUAAGUAAUGUGAAUUGCAGAAUUCAGUGAAUCAUCGAAUCUUUGAACGCACCUUGCGCCCUUUGGCUAUUCUGAAGGGCAUGCCUGUUUGAGUAUCAUGAACACCUCGACUCUCAUGGUCCGCCGUGAGGAGCUUGGACUUUGGGGGUCUUGCCGGCCUAGCGUCGGCUCCUCUCAAAUGGAUCAUCUUCCCAGUGUUUGGUGGCGUCACAGGUGUGAUAACUAUCUACGCUUGUGGUUUUCCGCCAUUAACCUUCAACAAUGGAGGUUCGCUGGAGCUCACAGAUGUCUCUCCUUGGGGAGGACGGCUUCUUGAAUGUCUGAUCUCAAAUCAGGUAGGACUACCCGCUGAACUUAAGCAUAUCAAUAAGCGGAGGAAAAGAAACUAACAAGGAUUCCCCUAGUAACUGCGAGUGAAGCGAGAAGAGCUCAAAUUUAAAAUCUGGCGUGCCUCUGGCCGUCCGAGUUGUAGACUGGAGAAGCGUUUUCCGUGCUGGACCGUGUAAAAGUCUCCUGAACUCCUGA